CUUGCGGUCAUAUCAUGUUGAAACACCGCUUCUCGCACAAUCACCGAAGAUAAGCAACGCCGAACCUAGUCAGUACCUAGAUGGGUAACCUCUUGGGAAUAAAAGGUGUUGUGA